rnacentral:rRNA from 1 species
GUGGCCCAACGGCGGUCGGCCGCAAGGUCUGUACUGCCGGUUUUCGGACCACCUCUUUCUGGGGGAACGUCGGCCCUUAACUGGGCUCGGCGGCCGAACCAGGACGUUUACUUUGAAAAAAUUAGAGUGUUCAAAGCAGGCAUGUUUGUCUGAAUACAUUAGCAUGGAAUAAUAGAAUAGGACAUGCGGUUCUAUUUUGUUGGUUUCUAGAGUCGCUGUA